rnacentral:rRNA from 1 species
GACGAACGCUGGCGGCGUGCUUAACACAUGCAAGUCGAACGGUGAAGCGGCUUCCUUUUUGGUGGGUGUGGAGGAGUGGCGAACGGGCGAGUAACACGUGAGUAACCUGCCUCCUUCUGCUGGAUAACCGCAGGAAAGUGUGGCUAAUACGGGAUAUUAUGGACCUGUCGCAUCAUGGGUCUGGGAAAGAUAUUGUUUCGGUGGGGGAUGGGCUCGCGGCCUAUCAGGUUGUUGGUGGGGGGAUGGCCUACCAAGGCGGUGAGGGGUAGCCGUGCUGAGAGGAUCGACGGCCACACUGGGGAGGCAAGGCCGCCACGCCUCCUGGGGGAGGCAGCAGGGAGGAUUAGUGCACAAGGGGAGGACGGAUGAAGCAGCGCCGCGGGGGGGGGGAUGGAGGCCUGCGGGUUGUGAACUUUUUUCGCGAGUGAAGCAGGCCUGCUUCGUGUGUGGGUGGGUUGACGGUAGCUGGAGAAGAAGCGCCGGCUAACUACGUG